AGGAUGAACGCUGGCGGCGUGCCUAAUACAUGCAAGUCGAGCGGUAAGGCCACUUCGGUGGUACACGAGCGGCGGACGGCUGAGUAACACGUAGGAACGUACCCCAAACUGAGGGAUAAGCACCAGAAAUGGUGUCUAAUACCGCAUGUGCUCUUCGGAGUAAAGCUACGGCGGUUUGGGAACGGCCUGCGCAAGAUUAGCUUGUUGGUGAGGUAAUAGCUCACCAAGGCGACGAUCUUUAGCUGGUCUGAGAGGAUGACCAGCCAGACUGGAACUGAGAACGGUCCAGACUCCUACGGGAGGCAGCAGUAGGGAAUUUUCCACAAUGGACGAAAGUCUGAUGGAGCAACGCCGCGUGCAGGAUGAAGGCCCUCGGGUCGUAAACUGCUUUUAUAUGUGACGAUUAUGACGGUAGCAUAUGAAUAAGGAUCGGCUAACUCCGUGCCAGCAGCCGCGGUAA
rnacentral:rRNA from 1 species